rnacentral:rRNA from 1 species
AACGAACGCUGGCGGCGCGCCUAAUACAUGCAAGUCGAGCGAGAAGGUGUAGCAAUACACUUGUAAAGCGGCGAACGGGUGAGGAAUACAUGGGUAACCUACCCUCGAGUGGGGAAGUAACUAGCCGAAGGUUAGCUAAUACCGCGUACGCUUCCGGGACUGCGGUUCCGGAAGGAAAGCGAUACUGUGAGUAUCGCGCUCUUGGAUGGGCUCAUGUCCUAUCAGCUUGUUGGUGAGGUAACGGCUCACCAAGGCUUCGACGGGUAGCUGGCCUGAGAGGACGAUCAGCCACACUGGCACUGCGACACGGGCCAGACUCCUACGGGAGGCAGCAGUAAGGAAUAUUGCGCAAUGGACGACAGUCUGACGCAGCGACGCCGCGGUGGGGGACGGAAGGUACGUUCGG